GAUGAACGCUGGCGGCGUGCCUAAUACAUGCAAGUCGAGCGAACAGAUGAGGAGCUUGCUCCUCUGACGUUAGCGGCGGAUGGGUGAGUAACACGUGGAUAACCUACCUAUAAGACUGGGAUAACUUCGGGAAACCGGAGCUAAUACCGGAUAAUAUAUUGAACCGCAUGGUUCAAUAGUGAAAGACGGUUUUGCUGUCACUUAUAGAUGGAUCCGCGCCGCAUUAGCUAGUUGGUAAGGUAACGGCUUACCAAGGCAACGAUGCGUAGCCGACCUGAGAGGGUGAUCGGCCACACUGAAACUGAGACACGGUCCAGACUCCUACGGGAGGCAGCAGUAGGGAAUCUUCCGCAAUGGGCGAAAGCCUGACGGAGCAACGCCGCGUGAGUGAUGAAGGUCUUCGGAUCGUAAAGCUCUGUUAUUAGGGAAGAACAAAUGUGUAAGUAACUAUGCACGUCUUGACGGUACCUAAUCAGAAAGCCACGGCUAACUACGUG
rnacentral:rRNA from 1 species